rnacentral:tRNA from 1 species
GAUGUAGCUUAGUGGUAAAGCACUUGCCUAGCAUGUAUAAAGUCCUGGGUUUGAUCCUCAGCACA